CAUCAUCGACAAGCAAAUCUUUGCUUAGUAUACGAAAAUAGACAGUCGCAGACCGAUAUUAUACGUACAGAGGGAAGGGGGUUGCGAUAAGAAGCAAGCUUCGAUUAACAAUGAUCCUUAUCGGUUCCUAGAAAAACCCAGCAAUAGCAGCGACAGCCUAAGCCUACGCAUCAUACCUACCAUUUCAUCAUUCGACUUUUGCUUCUCUUUGUGUUUAGUGCGUACAUCUCUAACGUGGUGAAAUUUUUUCUAUUCUUUCAAAGUUUAAUUUCGUUCUUAUUAUUUCUAUAAUCGGUAAGAUUUACGCAGUGCUGUAUUUUCUUGGUUCGUCUACUCUAUUUUUUUUACAUUUGUUCGAUCGUUUAAACCAUUUUGAAAAUUCCAGCUAUUUGUUUACAACCUCAUUGCGAUCAAGGUGGAUAAUACGACGUAUUGAUUGGAGAAUUAUUUGUUCUAUUGAAUCGUAAGUACAAGUGUUGAUUUCAUCAUUAAUAAUUUGCAUGGUUUACCGAUUCUGCUGUAAAACACACGUACAUUCGUACCUACCAUCUCACCACGUGCUUUAGGCUACCUAGACAGCCAUUGUUUUAAUAAUUAAUUCAAAUUGAAGAUAAUUACGAAAUUUUCACGUGCUAUUUAUUCUAUUUGUUCUAUUUGAAGUAAUCUUUCAAAUUUGGGAAAGAAUAAAUCAAAAUUCAACAUUUACUUCGGUUCUGUACGUGUAUUUUUACCAGCUAGCCUAAGUACAUUGCUGUUUUCAUCGUCAAUUUACUAAUCUGAGUGUUUCAUCGCAGAUUUUCGUUGAUUGGUGAACCGAAUUGUUCAAGAAUUUAUUCACGAUAUGAUCCAGCUUUGUUUUGUUACUGGUACGACAUAUUAAUUCUAUUUCAACCAAAAAUCCAGACGAACGAUUAAUUCUAUUCAUUCUACUUUGUUCAUCUAGCAUCGAACCUAGUUGCUGUGAUUAAUUGUUUCAAUUUACGAAGAUAUUAAUUUGUUCGACGAUUAUUGAACCGGAAUCUGCGGAAAGUUUAUUCGUUCUGCUAUAUCAUUGGUUGUUUUGCUGAGAUUUGUUCGUUUGUUCGCUACGAUUUUCGUGAAAAAGGCCAAUGGAAAGGUAUCGUGUUCCGGUAUGCCAGUACUGCGGGGAGGAGUUCGAGGCAGGACAAGAAACUGUACGGAAUGAAACCUGUCCACAUACUUACCAUCGCGAGUGCGUUAAAAGCUUAACUGAGCAACGUACGCCCGCCGGCAAUUUCCGCUAUCUCCCCGCAAAAUGUCAACAUCGAAGUUGCGGUGCGGUUUUGAUUCGACAACACUAUCACAGUGUUAUUUUCCGCUAUGAGACGCCCGAAAAUAUUUGCACCAACUCUGGACACCGGCAUAGAAUCGCGAAUCUCAGCGACACGAUUGAUUUCCAGCGUGAGCGC